AUUCUUAUAGUGUUAUAGCACAUAACCCUUUCAAUGUUAAAGUAAACAAAAUUUUAAGAAUU
rnacentral:tRNA from 1 species